UACGUAGGUGGCGAGCGUUAUCCGGAAUUACUGGGCGUAAAGCGCACGCAGGCGGUUUCUUAAGUUUGACGUGAAAACUCCUGGCUUAACUGGGAGAGGUCGUUGAAGACUGGGGAACUUGAGGCAAUGAGAGGGAUGUAGAAUUCACGGUGUAGUGGCGGAAUGCGUAGAUAUCGUGAGGAAUACCAGUGGCGAAAGCGACAUCCUGGCAUUAGCCUGACGCUCAUGUGCGAAAGCGUGGGGAGCGAACGGG
rnacentral:rRNA from 1 species